UACGGAGGAUGCGAGCGUUAUCCGGAUUUAUUGGGUUUAAAGGGUGCGCAGGCGGUCUGUUAAGUCAGCGGUCAAAGCCCGGGGCUCAACCCCGGCCCGCCGUUGAAACUGGCAGUCUCGAGUUGGAGAGAAGUAUGCGGAAUGCGCGGUGUAGCGGUGAAAUGCAUAGAUAUCGCGCAGAACUCCGAUUGCGAAGGCAGCAUGCCGGCUCCACACUGACGCUGAGGCACGAAAGUGUGGUAGUCGAACAGG
rnacentral:rRNA from 1 species